rnacentral:lncRNA from 1 species
UUCUCGAUAGGCCUACAAUAUAAACAAUUUUACUUAAAUUGUACCAGUACAUCCCAAAAUUAGAAUUCCAAAAUUAGACUUGAGAGAAGCCCGUUCCUUUGUUUUUAAGUAAAUUUCAAUUAAGCGCAAUAACGUGAAAAAUAAUAAUCCAUUGAUCAUCAACGGAUAUGUGACGAUCUUGUUCAAGAACCGUUUUCUAGGGUUUCAACGCGAAGGUCCUCAGUGCCGGAGACUCUCUACCUUCAACUCUGUAAGUCUUCUCAACUGCGUAAUCCAAAUUGAGAUCAACCGAACUCUUAAGUUUCUAUACUUUUUCUGCUUCCAUUUUUUCUUAUUUAUGUUUCUAUUUUGUUGAUUGAUGACCCAAUGUGUUGAAAUUGCUGACACUUGUUAGGUCCAAUUUGAUUUUGUCAUGUAUAUGUAAAUCACGAUGAGUUCUUAAACUGGUGGAUUGUGAUUACUAGAAUUGAUAAUUACAUAAGGGUUUUCAGAUAGCUUUUAGAUCACCUAAAAUCCUUACUCUUUUCUUUUACGAAGUUUGAGUAAAAAUUUUGUUAAAAAAGCUUGAUAUGAUAUGUGGCUUUCCUCUUGGAAGGUGGGAUUGCUUCCUCUCUUGGAGAUGAGGUAGAAUGGGGAGAGGUAGAAGGAAAGCAUGACACUUAGUUCCUUUGACGUUGAUGUGGAUUGUGUGGCUACUGGCUUCCCAUUGAUACUUUCGAUUUAUAGAGGAUCAUAUCUUUAGAUUGAAUAGUAAACUACUUUCCUUUUGGUAUAGUUGGUCUCGAAUGCAGUUGAAUUUCCCAAGCCAGUUUUUAGAUUCUAAUAGAGAUUUGAGUAGAUUUUUAAUGCAUGGUUCUUUUGUAAAUUGGUUGCACCCUCAUGUUCCUUCUUUUUACACUAGUUUUAUAGUUGUCAAAAAACAUGUAGUAAUGUCCAUGUGUUAAAUUUUUUUAGAAUAAUUGUAAUGACACAUGUUCUUGAGAGAGCGCGGCAUUAGCAAAUGAGGCUUUGAUCAAAGGAGUGGUUUUUUUGUUAGUAUUGUCCAACUUCAAACGGACAGACAAGUCCCUUGUUUUUGUUUUUUCUUAACAACUACUAAGGAGUUUUGACAUUUAAUUCUCCUCCUUGCACAUUUUGGUACAAUGACACAUGUUGAUAUUACUUUUGCUUGGAAGUUAACUUCUAUUUUAAAUUUUGAAUAGCUCUGUUUGACGAUUAAAGGAUAGUCCGAGUAUAUCGACAAUAUAUGGUAAUGAAUUCAAUUUUUUUGCAAUUAUGCUUUGAAGUUUCAUUGUAAACAUUAAUUAGCUAACGUCAUUAUUCCUUCUUUGAGACAUGUUUAGAUUAAGUUGCAAGAUGAUUUACUACAUUCCAUGUUUACUUAGAUAUCUUCAACAUUCGUUGUCGAGGAGCCAACUAGAAUAGAAAAUGAGAGUAGAAAAUGAAACGUGUAUGUUAGAAGUUUCAAUCAAAGUGUCCCGAGAACUUUUCCCCACUAGAGUUGUGGUUUUUCUUGCAGAGAGGAAAAAUUAUGACAUUGCGCAAAACAAUUUUAAUUCUAAAAGGUCAAUAUCUAGUGGUUGUACCAUCAACACGCGACUUUGGAAGGGUUACAAUAGGUGGGGUGCUAGCAUCCACCUUUAUUUCCACUAAGUAGGUACCUUAAUUUUAACUCAACACUUGCCACAAUUUUAUGCCUAGACACUAACAUUAGUCCAAUAAAUGGCCUCUUGGUAAUGUAUGGCUGAUGUUUUAAAUAAAUUUGGGUACGGGUGUCAGACAAUUUCGUACGCCUAAACUCAUUGGAUGGUCCCCGAAAUGGUUUAGAAAUUUGUCUAAAGACUCUAAAUGUGUUCUAUUAUUUACUUUUUAGUUUUUAUUAUAGUGCUGGACGCACUUCGGACGCUUAGGAAUCCAUCACUUAGCCGCACAUGAAAUGCUUGAAAAAAUAAUUUCUAAUGAAAUGAUAAAAAAAUGUGUACUUGUACCUAUUAGUGCCUCCCUCACUUAAAUUUUUAAGAAUUUUAAAUCUCAAAACAGCCAAUUUGUUUAUGAAAAUAUUUUCUAAGAUAGUGGACCUUAUAGUUCCCACUUCUUUCUAGUAUUUAUAAUGUGAAAAUGACUCUUACUAUUUUGGUAUGAUAGAAAUUGUCCUUGUAAUUUAAUGAAUCAAGCAAUUAUUAAUUUGAUGUAUAGGUAUAAAACAUUAUGAAUUGACGUGUCCAAUUAUAUUGUCUCUUGAUAUUUUUUAAGAAGCAGUGUGAGUGUGUCCGCAUCGUGUCAUCUAUGUGUUGUGUAUCCAUAUUCGUGUGUCUUUGGCCUUAAUUUAACAAAGAAUUGAAAAAUUAUGAUUUAGUUGUGUUGUUUGUGUUUUGUAUCCAUAUUCAUGCGUCUUAGGCGUUAAUUUAACAAAGAAUUAAAAAAUUAGGAGUUAGAGACCAAGCACAGACACCUUUAAGAACGUGCAUGGAUGAGACUUUACAUGUUGGAAAGGUAUCCA